AGACCCCGUCGGGCAUGCGCGGCAGAGGAGGGGGCUGACUUGAGCAGAAAGCGCGGAGAGACAAGUCGGAAGGAAAAGACAGACGAUCUCUGAUAAAGCAAAGCAGACAGAAAGAAUUUACCUGAGCUCUCUGCUGGACAGCAGCGUGUCACUGUAGGAGCUGCUCAGUGCUGCUAGGAUGACCUGCAUGUGGUGGGAGUUAUUACACUGGUAUAGUAUGACUAUGUCACCUGCAGCCUCCAGCAGUACCAGUUACCUGAGACCACACAUCUCAGCGACGUGUGCGUGCCCAUCCCAGCAGGGGAAAGAGGGAAGCCCCAGCUGUCCCAGCAGAACACACCAUAAAAGAUGAUUGAUGUCACCCCAGAGUCAUAGACGGUCUUCAGAAACUCCAAAACAAUUGAAUCUAGGCUUCUAGGUGUCCAUCAGGUGUGAUGUCAGAGCCACCAGCCUGCAGCUGUUGUUCAUUUACAUCUGCCUAAUUGAUCAUUUAUCCUCAGCACACUUUUCAGUUCCCUUGCCUGAAACUGGACAACAUGUAAAGUCUAAAUUCAAACAAAGGUUGGGGAAACCUGCACUGAGCUGAGACAGAAGAAGUCUGAAGUCGAACUCGGAUGAGUGACAGAGCGUUCCUGCUACUGAAAACUCUACGUCCAGAUGAACAAAAUGAACUUUUCGGGACAGGUCCCCAGAUGUUUUCUCUUCUCAGAAUCCUCUUCACAGAUCAUAUCUCUUUUAUCUGACAUACAGUCAUGUGGAAAAGAGUGUUUUCAUAGGAAUCUAUAGAGUACUCUGAAAAACUAAGCACUGUACAUGAGUGAGUAGCUUGCAGAGCCACCUUUUAGCAGCAGUAGUGUCACCAAAUUGUUUCUGUAUGACUCUUAGUCUGUCACACGGUUGUUUUGGCUGACGUUUCUUUACAUCGUUUCGUCAGUUCAUUGAGGUUUGUGGUAUUUGUUUAUGUAAAGCCCUCUUAAGUUCCCAGCACUGUUUUUCAGGUUGAGUUGUGGACUGUGACCUGGUCAUUGCAACACCUUGAUUCUGUUGUAGCUCUGCUAAUUUGCUUGGGAUCUUUGUCCUGCUGCAUUACCAAAACUCAGUUUUGACUGUAGACUACUUGGUAUACAAGGGACUUCAUGGAAAACUCAAUGACUGCAAGGGCCCAGGUUCUGUAGCUGCAAGACAAGCUCAAAUCAUCACCCCUUCACCGCUAA